ACCUUUGUGGUAUAAUGGCUAGCACACUCGGCGCGUAUUCGAGAGGUCCAUGGUUCGAGUCCUGGCGAGGGCG
rnacentral:tRNA from 1 species